CGCGGGUUCGAGUCCCGC
rnacentral:misc_RNA from 1 species